rnacentral:rRNA from 1 species
AUUGAACGCUGGCGGCAGGCCUAACACAUGCAAGUCGAACGGUAGCACAGAGAGCUUGCUCUCGGGUGACGAGUGGCGGACGGGUGAGUAAUGUCUGGGAAACUGCCCGAUGGAGGGGGAUAACUACUGGAAACGGUAGCUAAUACCGCAUAACGUCGCAAGACCAAAGAGGGGGACCUUCGGGCCUCUUGCCAUCGGAUGUGCCCAGAUGGGAUUAGCUUGUAGGUGAGGUAACGGCUCACCUAGGCGACGAUCCCUAGCUGGUCUGAGAGGAUGACCAGCCACACUGGAACUGAGACACGGUCCAGACUCCUACGGGAGGCAGCAGUGGGGAAUAUUGCACAAUGGGCGCAAGCCUGAUGCAGCCAUGCCGCGUGUAUGAAGAAGGCCUUCGGGUUGUAAAGUACUUUCAGCGGGGAGGAAGGGAGUGAGGUUAAUAACCUCAUUCAUUGACGUUACCCGCAGAAGAAGCACCGGCUAACUCCGUGCCAGCAGCCGCGGUAAUACGGAGGGUGCGAGCGUUAAUCGGAAUUACUGGGCGUAAAGCGCACGCAGGCGGUCUGUCAAGUCGGAUGUGAAAUCCCCGGGCUCAACCUGGGAACUGCAUUCGAAACUGGCAGGCUGGAGUCUUGUAGAGGGGGGUAGAAUUCCAGGUGUAGCGGUGAAAUGCGUAGAGAUCUGGAGGAAUACCGGUGGCGAAGGCGGCCCCCUGGACAAAGACUGACGCUCAGGUGCGAAAGCGUGGGGAGCAAACAGGAUUAGAUACCCAGGUAGUCCACGCUGUAAACGAUGUCGACUUGGAGGUUGUUCCCUUGAGGAGUGGCUUCCGGAGCUAACGCGUUAAGUCGACCGCCUGGGGAGUACGGCCGCAAGGUUAAAACUCAAAUGAAUUGACGGGGGCCCGCACAAGCGGUGGAGCAUGUGGUUUAAUUCGAUGCAACGCGAAGAACCUUACCUACUCUUGACAUCCAGAGAACUUAGCAGAGAUGCUUUGGUGCCUUCGGGAACUCUGAGACAGGUGCUGCAUGGCUGUCGUCAGCUCGUGUUGUGAAAUGUUGGGUUAAGUCCCGCAACGAGCGCAACCCUUAUCCUUUGUUGCCAGCGAUUCGGUCGGGAACUCAAAGGAGACUGCCAGUGAUAAACUGGAGGAAGGUGGGGAUGACGUCAAGUCAUCAUGGCCCUUACGAGUAGGGCUACACACGUGCUACAAUGGCAUAUACAAAGAGAAGCGACCUCGCGAGAGCAAGCGGACCUCAUAAAGUAUGUCGUAGUCCGGAUUGGAGUCUGCAACUCGACUCCAUGAAGUCGGAAUCGCUAGUAAUCGUGGAUCAGAAUGCCACGGUGAAUACGUUCCCGGGCCU